UGAUUUUUGGUCGUAGCUUGCUAUGAUAAAAAUUAGUGGCAGACGGGUGAGUAAUGCAUAGGAAUCUACCUAGUAGUAUGGGAUAGCCACUAGAAAUGGUGGGUAAUACUGUAUAAUCCCUGCGGGGGAAAGAUUUAUCGCUAUUAGAUGAGCCUAUGUUAGAUUAGCUAGUUGGUAGGGUAAAGGCCUACCAAGGCAGUGAUCUAUAGCUGGUCUGAGAGGAUGAUCAGCCACACUGGAACUGAGAUACGGUCCAGACUCCUACGGGAGGCAGCAGUGGGGAAUAUUGGACAAUGGGCGCAAGCCUGAUCCAGCUAUGCCGCGUGAGUGAGGAAGGCCUUAGGGUUGUAAAACUCUUUCAGUGGGGAAGAUAAUGACGGUACCCACAGAAGAAGUCCCGGCAAACUCCGUGCCAGCAGCCGCGGUAAUACGGAGGGGGCAAGCGUUGUUCGGAAUUAUUGGGCGUAAAGGGCAUGUAGGCGGUUCGGUAAGUUAAAGGUGAAAUGCCAGGGCUUAACCCUGGAGCUGCUUUUAAUACUGCCAGACUCGAGUCCGGGAGAGGAUAGCGGAAUUCCUAGUGUAGAGGUGAAAUUCGUAGAUAUUAGGAGGAACACCAGUGGCGAAGGCGGCUAUCUGGUCCGGUACUGACGCUGAGGUGCGAAAGCGUGGGAGCAAACAGGAUAGA
rnacentral:rRNA from 1 species